UGACUUAUGUCGUAUAUGACUUACGGCCC
rnacentral:piRNA from 1 species